rnacentral:rRNA from 1 species
AGCUCCAAUAGCGUAUAUUAAAGUUGUUGCAGUUAAAAAGCUCGUAGUUGAAUUUCUGGGAGUCGCGCCGGUGGCUUUGUCGCAGGCCGCGGCUUCCAUCCGCCUGAGCACCGCGUUCGUCCUUGACUGGUCGGCGCGGGAAUCAGGCUUUUUACUGUGAAAAAAUCAGAGUGUUCAAGGCAGGCAAGCGCCCUGAAUACACAAGCAUGGAAUAAUGGAAUAGGACUAGUGUCUAUUUUGUUGGUUAUUGGACAUUAGUAAUGAUUAAUAGGGACAGUUGGGGGCAUUAGUAUUUAAUAGUCAGAGGUGAAAUUCUUGGAUUUAUUAAAGGCUAACUUAUGCGAAAGCAUUUGCCAAGGAUGUUUUCA